CGGCACGGCACGGCACGGCCCGGCACCGGGCAGGGUGUCGGGAGCCACGGCGGGGCCUCGGGUCAGGCCCCGCUGCUCCUGCAGGGUCAUCCUAGACCGCAUGGCACAGGACUGCAUCCAGAUGGUUCCUGAGUAUACUCAGGGACGGAGACAGCAGCCUCUGGACAGUCUGUUCCAGUGCCUGCUCGCUGGCAAUGCUGUUCUUCCUGCUGAGAGCGCUUGCUUUCUUGGGACAUCCUCACCACAGCCCCUCACGGCCUCCCCAGGGCAGGAACAGACCCUGGACAGGGAGAAGGCUCUGGGUUCUGCAGCGCUCUCUGGGACAGCCCCUCUCCGAGGUGUGGAUCUGCCUGGGCAGGACCCUGGUACUCUCAGGCCUUGCACUCUCAGUGAUGCCACACUCACAGCUGUGUCUGCUGCUGCUCCCCAGCCCAUGAAAAGCUUCUUUGAUGUGAAAUUUAAUAGAAGAAAAGAGAAUCUUAGCACAAGGGCUUUCAGUUCCGUGUGCUUGAAAUGUGACUCACAGAAUGGCCACUCCCCAGCCCUGCCCGAUUACACGGCUCUGGGAUGCGCUCACCAGCCAGAUCUGAUACCGGGCACACAGCAGGAAGACAAGAGAGAAGGGCACUUCCAAGAGGCACUUCUGCUUCAGGACAGUGCUGCUAGAAGGCAUUUUCCCUCCUACACCUGUGCAGGUCCUUCAUCCUUCUCCUGGCCUACCUGCAGGGGUUUGGUUGGAAGUGUAUUCUGUGCAGUGGCAGUAGAGAGCUUCAAGAGACCUGCCCUCAGCAAAUAUGCUGGCUGUGUUAUUCAUUGAGCUGUAGCUUAGAUCACCCUGGUAACACAGCUCUGCCAUCAUAAGGCAGCUGGGAGCACUUUGGUAAUUCUGUAAUCACAAAUGUCAGACUAGGUCAGGAGUCUCCAAACAGUUUGGAUCACUGGAGUGUAGACAACACUGAAAACUUAUUGCGCCCUAUUACUAAAAUUAUACCUAAUACUAUGUUUUCAUAUGAUUCUAUAGAGUCCAUAUCAUGGCUCAUGGGGCACAGUAAGGAAACCACAGGCCAAAAUACUUCAACUGUAACUAACUUAAGGUACCAUUAAAGAGACUCUGUCUAAGUCUCCUCACCUUUUUGUGUGUGAAUCAAUUUUCGGUGGUAGAGCACGGACAGUGAUAUAUGUUAGAUACGCAAUGCAAGAGCCAAAUGUUCAUAGGUAUUAUACACCUGCUGACUUAAAGCACCAAUUUAAAAGGACUGGGAAAUAACCUGAAAACAAGCACAGUGCUAGACCCAUUUUAAAGUGAUUAUCUUAGGUAAUUUUCUUUAUGAAAAAUGACACCAAGCUUGGGUUUCUCACACAUGACUGCAAAGCGUUAUUGGUGAAGAACUGGUACGCAGAUGUUUCUAAGGUCUCUAAAGCAGAAAUCACAAGCACAGAGUUUACUGCAAAUCUGGGACAGAAAUUCAUACUUGCUUAUUACUCUUUGGAUAUUUUUUCUCAAAAGAAUACUGAUUUAUAUAUAACUAGGGAUGUUAAUAUGGCUCUUUGUAAAUUUUUUUGCACUUGGGGGAAAAGAUAAUAAAGGGAGUGUUUGAGAAAAUACCUGUUCUGAG
ensembl:lncRNA